GCUAAGUUGCUUUUUUAAUAUUCUCAUUUUGUACUUAAAAAUGACAUCUUACCACUACAGGCUAGUUCUAGCCUCCAGUGGGGUUCCAUGACAGCUGUGACAUCACCAAAGUAGAGCACGUUUAGAUUUCCUGGAGUGGAAGCUGCCAAGUCUGGACUUUAAUGAGGAGGAGGAAAAGCGCGCACUUUCAGUCAGGAGGAGAAAGGAGAAGACCAAAGUGCUCCUAAGAUGCACUGCUACUGGAAGGUUCCAUUACUGUAGCUACACUGCAUCAGCACAUCCCAGGAGUGUGAAAUGCAGCAUGCAUACUGAAGAACUUCAGUUACAAGUAACCUUCAUUUCUAAUUGCUGUUCAAUGGAGGGAUUUCUGACAUAUCUGCCAUGUGACACAGAAGUUCCUGAAACAUAUUGAAAUCAUCAGUUUGAACAGAAAGAGCACUAUUGCCUUGUCUGGUGAAGAAGAGGAGGGUACUUCUCCGAUUGCAGUGACUCAUCCCCACAACAUGAUGCCGCACUACAUUACUUCACAGUGUCCAGACCUGUAAUGGUAUCCACCAAAACUGGUGA